GUGCUUCCUUCAGCAGCAUAUAUACUAAAAUUGGAACGACACAGAGAAGAUUAACAUGGCCCCUAUGCAAGGAUGACAUACAAAUUUGUGAAGCAUUCCAUAUUUUU